GGAUAUGAGGGUGAUCUAUUGGUGACAUCUGUCACCCCCUUGGUCACCAGGGCUGAUUCGGUUGACCUGGCUGUCUAUACAGGUGUCCCCUUCCUCCUGGCCACUCCCCUCCUGAAGCUGCACAUCAGGUCAAAGAGGACGACCCUCCCCAAACAGCGGACAGGUCUUCCAUCAAGGGUUUAGGCGUAGCUACAGUAGAACUUCCAAACAAGCUCUACAGAAAUAGUUUAGGGCUUCCAUGAGAGUUAACUUAAUUGUUUCUGAAAAUCUAUGUUCUUUGUGAUACUUGGCAAAUGAUAGUCUUU
rnacentral:snRNA from 1 species